UGUGGUAUAAAAGUGUAUCAAUUAAGUAUAGAGACGCAUGUGCCCAAUUAGGCCAAAUGGCUAAAAAAAAGAAAUUAGUUUACCCGACUGGACAACUUAUAUCCACCUUUACAAAUGUUGGCCAUUUUUUUAAAAAAAUGAACAACCCAUGUCCUUUUCCCUACUUUAAAUAACCUCAAAACUCUCCUAACUAACUAACCCACAAACCCAAUCACAACCAACCCCAGGCCCAAAAUCACUUGAUCUGCUCUAGCCCAAAACCUGUGUGACCCGGCACAUCACUCUUUAAACUGAGACUUUGGAUUAAAAAGGAUAAAUAAGUUAUCCAAUUAAGUAGGAUUCUUCUAAAUUUUUUAAAUUAGGUGGUAGGAAUAAAUUUUUUUUGAGUUUUUUUUUUAAGUUUUUUCGUUCGAACAACUUGUCCCAAUUGUAGAAUAACUUUGAUAGUUGUUCGAUAACUUUACGAAAUUGUUCAACAACUACGCAAGUUGUUCAACAACUAGGCACAGUUGUCCUACAACUGCACCUAGUUGUUCAACAACUGAAAGAAAUUGUUCAACAACUGCGGGAAGUUAUUCAAACAAAUAACGUAAUUAUUUCACAAUUAUCCAAUUAGUCAAGGGACUUAAUUUUUUUUAAGAACAAAUUUGUGAGACCCAUUUAUCCUUCUAGCCUAUUUUUCUCUUUUAAACUCCUCUUCUCCAACAAACAACGACAGCAACAAACAACUCGACAACAACAAUAUCAACAAGCAGUAACAAUUUAAAGAACGGCAAAACCAAACAACAACAAUUUCAAUACAAAACCUGACCUGAACCCGGUAAACCCAGCAACCCGCAAACCGCACCAACGUACAGCUCCGACCCUCAUCCUCUUUUCAAUUCAAAAUUUCAAUCCGUACAAAUUGUAAGAUUCCAGCUCAUACCCUUAUCUCCUAAGAAGAUUCCUCCCUAAAAUUUCAAAAUUGCCUCCGGAUUUUCCAAUCCCACAUCGACAAUUAGUCAAGAGUUGGGAUUUUUGGGUUCUAUAUAAACCCUUCCCACUCUACUAUUCAAACGGGGUUUUUUUGAAGGAAAAAGAGCUAAAAUUCUCUACUCAGGAAGCAAGUUGGUAAGGUUGUUGUCGACUCUUUAUCCCGGUCUGCUGCCCCUAAAAAGGUAAACUUCUCAUCUUGUUUCUUUUUUUUCUCGCGUGAUUAUGUCUCGUCGAAUUUAUGAUAGUUAUUUUUAGUUUUUCUUUUGCUGGUGGGAUUGUUUGCUGUAGAAAGCUUUGAAAGCUAUAGGUUUUGUGUAAUAGAAAUGGUAUAGUUUUCCUUUGUUACUCUUAAUAAUUGCAUCGAAUCAUGGAUUUUGUUGCUAUGGUAGUAUUUAGGUCGUAUUGGUUUCACUACUACUGAAGUUUCAUAAUCGGCCUGGAAAUGUAUUUGAUUCUGAUUAUUUGCUGGCGAUUUGGAUGAAUAUGGUUUGCAAAAUCUCAAUUAAGUGUAUGAUUCACAUCAUUUUUCUGUUCAUGUGUUGGUUUAAAAUCUGAAAUUUCAGAAGUCUUACAAGGCUCUUCAUCUUUAGAAACAAUCGUUCUAUUUUCGUUCAUGCCAUGUUUAAGAGUAUGUGAGCUCUUUUCCUGCUUGUGACUGCCAAUUUUAUUUGUUUUAAUCAAGAUUUGUUCUAAUGGGUAUUCUAUGUGGUUUAUUUCUUCCUCUUUAUUGCUCGUAUGUGCUUAGUUUAGGUUAUUAUUUGUUGUUGAAUACCUCCAAGGUAAUUCAAUGACCCAAUUCAACAUGAUUUUCUAGUUAAUGUUUCCGCCGAAUUAUUGCUAAAUCACUUCGGUUCAUGAUGUGUUGCCUGCUUUAUACUUCCUUGCUAGAUAGUUUAAUGCUUCUAAAAUUGUGUCCUCUUUUAGCCAUAAAAGACAGGUCCAUUUUUGUUUGGCUUUGUUCAUUAAAUUCGUCCAAAAUUAUUAAUCUUCGGCUUUAAAAGAAUGACUUUGCCUCUUCAAAUUAGUUCAAGAUAUCUGUCUUUGCCAUGGGAGUUGUCUUCUUCUUUUAUUUGAAUACGCUUCUAUUUUCAACAUGUAAAAUGAUCUUGUUUGCUUAGUGAUUUAAAUGACCAAAGAUUAGACAUAAUAUCAUAUUGAUUCUGUUAAUUAAAGAUUUUCUUGAAUGUAUAAUUUUUCUUAGAAAUAGAUAUGAGAUGCAUUUCAUUGCUGUUGAUUUUUGUUAGUUUGGAUUCAUGUUAUUUUAUUUGCCAAUUAUUCACUUUAAAAUAGAUACUUAUUCUUAUCUUCUUUUUGUGGCAUGUGACAUUGACCCGAGUCCAUUAGACUCCAUCUCCCCUUUGCAUUUCCGCUGGGCCAUUGAGGCCCAACAUCAUCGAGUCCAAGAUCCCAUGCCAAAAGUCCCCAAACGAGACAGCUUUGCGACAAUAUAUGGCGGAUGUACAGAUUUCAUAGGGCAAAAGCAGUUGAUAUACGGCAAUAGACAGUAGUAAAUGAAGGCAAGGGAGUGAAGUAUCGAUUUUAUACGCUGAUAUACAGUUUGUAUACAGAAAAACUGCCAAUGAAGUCUAGUAUAUGUGAAGUAUACAACUGAUAUACAGCUGGUAUACAUCUGAAAAGGGGCUAAAAAAGGGUCCAUUAAAAUAGGUCCAACGGUUGUCCAGAUUUAAAGUGGGCUAGAAAGGGGCCAUUUGCUUGUAGUUAAUUUAAUUAUUUAUUUAUAAUUUAAUUUAAUCCAGAUGAAUCCUCGGGAAGCAAAUUAUAUUGAAAUUAUUCAUUUAUGUUGAUUAUUUAAUAUUUUUAAUCUUUAA